UUGAACGCCGGCGGCAGGCCUAACACAUGCAAGUCGAGCGGAUGAAGGGAGCUUGCUCCUGGAUUCAGCGGCGGACGGGUGAGUAAUGCCUAGGAAUCUGCCUGGUAGUGGGGGAUAACGUCCGGAAACGGGCGCUAAUACCGCAUACGUCCUGAGGGAGAAAGUGGGGGAUCUUCGGACCUCACGCUAUCAGAUGAGCCUAGGUCGGAUUAGCUAGUUGGUGGGGUAAAGGCCUACCAAGGCGACGAUCCGUAACUGGUCUGAGAGGAUGAUCAGUCACACUGGAACUGAGACACGGUCCAGACUCCUACGGGAGGCAGCAGUGGGGAAUAUUGGACAAUGGGCGAAAGCCUGAUCCAGCCAUGCCGCGUGUGUGAAGAAGGUCUUCGGAUUGUAAAGCACUUUAAGUUGGGAGGAAGGGCAGUAAGUUAAUACCUUGCUGUUUUGACGUUACCAACAGAAUAAGCACCGGCUAACUUCGUG
rnacentral:rRNA from 1 species